UUAAACAUAUAACACAAACAUAUUGAUUAUAACUCAUUGGGAAUACCACAAAAAGGAAAAACUAUGUUCGCUAAGUACUCGAUGCCGUCAGUUCGUUUUUAAUAGUGUCAUAGUGAACACCAACACUGGAAUAUUGUAGAAAGACUUCCAUUUAAUGGAGACUUAUAAUAUGUUACGAAUAAACUGGUGUGUGAUGGCGAUGGUGGUGUACCUGGUGGCGGUGUUGCCGUCCGCGAGCGCGCAGUCUCCUUCCGCGCCGGACGUGCCGCACAGCGCACUCCCACAACCAACGACUACAGAACACGCCGGCGCCCUGCUGGCUCUCAUCGACCACAUUCUGACCCCUGCUAUGGUGUCAAAUUUAAAUGAUGACACUACGGGCGUGAUUGCAUUUAGGUCGUGCCCAAUAGGUUGUUGCGUUCAGUUUGGACUAUGCAUGAAAUGCAAUCCUGAGGAUGAUACUACAUGUUGAAAGAAUAAUACACUAUAUUUUCAGCCAAUGUAAAAGUAUCAUACCUAUAUCCUAUGGAAGUUUUGGUUGCCAUAUUUGUUUUGUCUCAUGACGCCACUGGCACGCGUGCCAAUGGUUCGCCAUCAAUGGAUACCUCCAUAGGAUAUAUCCUCUAUAGGACAGGGUCUAGAGGUUUAUACUCAACUUAGGGGCCGUUCAAGUAUAACGUAACGCAAUUUGGGGGGGGGUCUUGUAAAAUGUUACGAUGCGUUACAGGGGCGGGAGGGAGGAUUCGUACAAAGCGUUAUGAAACAUUUUUUUUAUUUUAAAAGAAUAACAAAGGUAUUUUAGCUACUUUCCGGUAUUUUGCGUAAAAUAAUUGUGAAUAUUUGAAAAAAAUUGUAACUUUAGAGUUAUAACUUUGGGGGGGGGGGGGCGUACAGGAAAACGUUACGGCGCGUAACAUGGCGAAUGGGGGGCCAAAACCUUCAAAUAUUACGUUACGUAAUACUUGAACGGCCCUUUACCGAUAUUAAUAUGACGAGCGGGAGUGAACAUAAGGGCCCUUAUUCUGUAUUAUAUAGUGUAAACGCGUAACGCGGCCGCGUCAUGUUAUCUUCGUGAAAUGUGCGUGGAAUGGUAUUCCGUAAGCCAAUUUCUAUAGUCCUAAACAUGAUGCGUUGUGUUACGUGCUUGUUACGCACUGUUAAAAUAACGUGCGGGAUAGAGAAUAAGGCCCCAGGUAACUCCUGGGCACGUUCUGUAUACAUCCUAUGACAUACCUGCUAAGUACCAGCUUAACCCUCAGGUAUUCAGUUGUUUAUUCAGGCCGGUUCCAAUAUUUUAUUUACAUUUAACUGAAUUUUGCUAUCACAAUUCGAUAGUAAAAGUUACGCUGUUACUCCUGUCUCUAUAUUAAAAACUUUAAUUAACUGAGAUCAAGGAAAGAUAACACCUGUAACUCUAGUGCGUGCAUUCGCCGAAGUGUUUUAUUUUUCGACUGAGUACUUUAACUAACUUGUUUUAAAAAAAUCGAGCAUAUUUAUGUUUUCAAUUAUAAUUCUUUUCAAUAUCUAUACAUUUGAUUUUACGUAAAGCAAUUUAAAUAACAUACCACACAGAUGAUUAUUAUAAUGAUUAUAUGAUAUGUUAAUCUUUGGCAAAAACGAGACGGACCAAGGACAGUAAUUAUAUUUGACCCUCCGAUAGAUAGAAUAAGUUAACUAAAAGGUAUUCUUAUUUCUUUGUUUAUAAGACACAUAAUAAUCCUCUAAAAGUAAGCAUAUCAACGGUUUGUCAUCUGUCAGUAAGAUAUUGUCAGGCUGUAUGUCAUUUUAAAAGUAUGAGGGGAGAUGAGAAGGUAACAAUCAAAGCGGAGGUGUGGAGAGACAUAGUCGUGAGCCUACAACAAAUCAGGAUAUUUCAAAAAAUACAAUGCUUUGUCCAGCCUUGCGGUUGCAUGCAUAUGCGACCAUGUAUAUAAUAACAUUUAAAAAACACUGAUAUAUUUUAAUAUGUAACUUAUUAUAAUGUAAGGUAAUUUUUGUGCUUAUGCUGUGUAUAUUUUUGUUAAUUAAAUUUAGGUUCUUUUUCACAACUUUUGAGUAAAUGCUACUCGUCAUAUAAAUGUAUAAGCCGACCAAAUACGAAAGUCACACUCUUAUUCAUGCUCUCAAAUAAAUGGUAAUCAAAUAAGUACUAUCUACAUUAGCUGUUUAAUAUAACUAUCAAAUAAAAUUUAUUUGCAACUUGUGAAUCAGGCCCUUAAGCUUGUACCUAUGUUGUUAUUUUUUGUUUAUAUAACUGCCUCACUUUUGUAACCUUAGUGUGAUUUUGAUUAAUUAAGUAUAUAUUAUAUUAUAAAUAUUUGCAACUUA
rnacentral:lncRNA from 1 species